ensembl:ncRNA asRNA:CR44850 antisense RNA:CR44850
UUCUUAGACAGAGAGUCCCACAAUUGAAAUCACUCCCAUUUUAUCAACGAACUUUUUGAUUUUAUUUUCAAAAAUACUACGCUCCAAAGCUAAUCGGAACAUUAACGCUAAACAAAGACUUGUAGGAUUUUGAACAAAUCAUGAAAACAUCUAUCACAAGCACUACUCCACAUCGAUGUCUUUUGUGACGCGACCCACCCAGUAAACGAAUCCGGUCUGCACCACGGUGGCCAUGAACUUGACGUUGCCCUUGUAGCCUGCUGGCGGAAUCCAGUCGAAGGUGAUGCCGGUCAGCGGCUUGCCCUUUUGCGCACUCAGAUGGGUGAUGGUGUCGUCCUUGCCGGAGCAGUCCAAGGUCUGCGAGUGCACGGAGUCCACCACCUGGAACUGGCCGACGACGCGGUUCUGGCCAUCGCGUGCCUGGAUCAUGAAGCCAAGGAACUCAUCGCCGCCCAGCGUCAGGGUCAGCUUUUGAUCCGAGCGCACAUGGGAGGGUCCGGAGAUGCUGUACGGCGGCUUGGUCACCUGCAGCUUGGCUCCGUGCUGGGGCGUCAGGUCACGACAGGCGGCCUUUGGGAUAAUGAAGAUGGGAAUAUAAGGAAUCUAUCCGUCAUGUAUUUCGAUGGGGCAGGUUCAUACCUUUGGAGCACCAUCGGAGUAGGCGUGGACACUGAUGGCCAGGCAGGCCGCAAGAACCAACAAACGGAACAUAUCUGUUUAAGGGAAAAUU